AACGAACGCUGGCGGCGUGCCUAACACAUGCAAGUCGAACGAGACCUUCGGGUCUUGUGGCGCACGGGUUCGUAACGCGUGGGAACCUGCCCUUAGGUUCGGAAUAACUCCCCGAAUGGGGUGCUAAUACCGGAUAAUGUCUUCGGCCCAAGGAUUUAUCGCCUUUGGAUGGUCCCGCGUUGGAUUAGCUGGUUGUUAGGGUAAAAGCCUACUAAGGCUUCGAUCCAUAGCUGGUUUGAGAGGAUGGGCAGCCAAACUGGGAGGGAGACACAGCCCAGAAUCCUACGGGAGGGAGCAGAGGGGGAUAUUGGACAAUGGGCGGAAGGCUGAUCGAGCAAUGACGGGUGAGUGAUGAAGGCCUUAGGGUUGUAAAGCGCUUUUAACCGGGAUGAUAAUGACAGUACCGGGAGAAUAAGCUCCGGCUAACUCCGUG
rnacentral:rRNA from 1 species